rnacentral:rRNA from 1 species
CAGCAGCCGCGGUAAUACGUAGGGUGCAAGCGUUAAUCGGAAUUACUGGGCGUAAAGCGUGCGCAGGCGGUUUGUUAAGACAGAUGUGAAAUCCCCGGGCUCAACCUGGGAACUGCAUUUGUGACUGGCAAGCUAGAGUAUGGCAGAGGGGGGUGGAACUCCGCGUGUAGCAGUGAAAUGCGUAGAUAUGCGGAGGAACACCGAUGGCGAAGGCAGCCCCCUGGGCCAAUACUGACGCUCAUGCACGAAAGCGUGGGGAGCAAACAGGAUUAGAUACCCCUGUAGUCCCUGUCUCUUAUAC